UACGUAGGGACCAAGCGUUGUUCGGAUUUACUGGGCGUAAAGGGCGCGUAGGCGGCAAUUCAAGUCAUCUGUGAAAUCUCUGGGCUUAACCCAGAACGGCCAGAUGAUACUGCUUUGCUAGAGUGCAGAAGGGGCAAUCGGAAUUCUUGGUGUAGCGGUGAAAUGCGUAGAUAUCAAGAGGAACACCUGAGGUGAAGACGGGUUGCUGGGCUGAAACUGACGCUGAGGCGCGAAAGCCAGGGGAGCAAACGGG
rnacentral:rRNA from 1 species